UAGUGCAGCGGCGGAGCGGCCCGGGCCGGCCGAGCAGCCAUGGGGGCCCUGGUGCCGGGCCCCCCAAGAGCCAAGGCCCCCGGCCGGGGUUGGGGGUGCCGGGGCUACCAGCCCCGCUGACACCGCCUCGGACGAUGUGAGCCGGCGCCUCCGCUGCUGCUUCGCGGGCAGGGCUCGCAGUCCCACCGGCCCCGGCCGCCGCUUUUCUAAUUUGGGUGGGGGCGACCGUUCCAGGCCGCUCGGUCUUUGGUAGAGGGGCUGGCUGUCUUUGGCAGCUUGACUGGGGGAGGCGACCCACACAGGGCUCUCGGAGAUAUUUUUUCCCUUUUUUUUUUUUUCUUUUUUAAAUCGAGGUUAACUGUUUUGGGCAGCUUGGUUUUGGGGGGAGGCUAAAAAAGGCCUUUCGGGGUUCCUUUUCUCUGGGGGAGGGGGCGGUGGUCCCGACUUGGCCAGCCGCCUGUUGGAAGGGGGGAGCGGGAAGUGUGGGGAUGAGAACCCGGCUCCCCCCACUAUGAUGAAGACGGAGCCGCGGGGGCCCGGGGGUCCCCUCCGGAGCGCUUCCCCGCACCGCAGCGCCUACGAGGCGGGCAUCCAGGCUCUGAAGCCGCCCGACGCGCCCGGGCCAGACGAGGCACCCAAGGCGGCCCACCACAAGAAAUAUGGCUCCAACGUCCACCGCAUCAAAAGUAUGUUCCUGCAGAUGGGCACGACGGCGGGCGAGGCGGGCGGCGGCGCGGGCCCCACUGAGGCCUUGCGGGCGCCCGAGCGCGGCGUGCGCCUGUCGCUGCCGCGGGCCAGCAGCCUAAACGAGAACGUGGACCAUAGUGCCCUGCUGAAGCUGGGCACCAGCGUGUCGGAGCGCGUGAGCCGCUUCGACUCCAAGCCCGCGCCCUCCGCUCAGCCUGCGCCGCCGCCGCACCCGCCGUCCCGGCUGCAGGAGACGCGGAAGCUGUUCGAACGGAGCGCCCCGGCGGCCGCGGGCGGCGACAAGGAGGCCGCGGCGCGGCGGCUGCUGAGGCAGGAGCGCGCCGGCCUGCAGGACCGGAAGCUGGACGUCGUGGUGCGCUUCAACGGCAGCACCGAGGCGCUGGACAAGCUGGACGCCGACGCCGUGUCGCCGACGGUCAGUCAGCUCAGCGCCGUCUUUGAGAAGGCCGACUCGAGGACCGGCCUCCACCGCGCGCCGGGGCUGCCCAGGGCCGCGGCCGCCGGGGCGCCCCAGGUCAACUCGAAGCUGGUCAGCAAGCGGUCCCGGGUGUUUCAGCCGCCCCCGCCGCCGCCCGCCCCGUCGGGGGAUGCCCCAGCCGAGAAGGAGCGCGGCCCCGGAGGGCAGCAGCCCCCGCAGCACCGAGUGGCCCCCGCGCGGCCGCCCCCCAAGCCUCGGGAGGUGCGCAAGAUAAAGCCGGUGGAGGUGGAGGAGAGCGGGGAGUCGGAGGCCGAGGCGGCGCCCGCGGAGGUGAUCCAGGCGGAGGUGACGGUCCAUGCGGCCCUGGAGAAUGGCAGCGCCUUGGCAACCACCGCCAGCCCCGCGCCCGAGGAGCAGAAGGCCCAGGCGGCCCCCGAGGAGGAGGCGGCGACCGUGGCGGCGCCUGAGAGAGGGGUGGGCAAUGGCCGGGCCCCGGACGUGGCCCCCGAGGAGGUGGACGAGUCCAAGAAGGAGGAUUUCUCGGAGGCGGACUUGGUGGACGUGAGCGCCUACAGUGGGCUGGGGGAGGACUCUGGGGGCAGUGCCCUGGAGGAGGACGACGACGAAGAUGAGGAGGAGGGUGAGCCCCCCUACGAGCCCGAGUCGGGGUGUGUGGAGAUCCCGGGGCUUUCGGAAGAAGAGGACCCGGCCCCGAGCCGGAAGAUCCAUUUCAGCACGGCGCCCAUCCAAGUGUUCAGCACCUACUCCAACGAGGACUAUGAUCGCCGCAACGAGGACGUGGAUCCCAUGGCAGCCUCUGCUGAGUACGAGCUGGAGAAGCGGGUGGAGAGGUUGGAGCUGUUCCCUGUGGAGCUGGAGAAGGAUUCCGAGGGCCUGGGCAUCAGCAUCAUUGGCAUGGGGGCCGGGGCAGACAUGGGCCUGGAGAAGCUGGGCAUCUUUGUUAAGACUGUGACUGAAGGCGGUGCGGCCCAUCGGGACGGCAGGAUCCAGGUGAAUGAUCUCCUGGUGGAAGUGGAUGGAACAAGUCUGGUGGGAGUGACCCAGAGCUUUGCAGCCUCCGUGCUCCGGAACACCAAGGGCCGUGUGCGAUUUAUGAUUGGCCGGGAGCGGCCGGGUGAGCAGAGUGAGGUGGCCCAGCUAAUUCAGCAGACCCUGGAACAGGAGCGAUGGCAGCGGGAGAUGGAGCAGAGAUACGCCCAGUACGGGGAGGAUGACGAGGAGACAGGAGAAUACGCCACUGACGAGGAUGAGGAGCUGAGCCCCACGUUUCCAGGUGGCGAGAUGGCCAUCGAGGUGUUCGAGCUGGCAGAGAACGAGGAUGCCUUGUCCCCUGUGGACAUGGAGCCUGAGAAGCUGGUGCACAAGUUCAAGGAGCUCCAGAUCAAGCAUGCCGUGACCGAGGCGGAGAUCCAGCAGCUGAAAAGAAAGGGGUGUUUCUUCCUCUCAGCUGCAGAGCCUGGAGCAGGAGAAGGGGAGGUGGCGGCUGGAGAAGGCCCAGCUGGAGCAGAGUGUGGAGGAGAACAAGGAGCGCAUGGAAAAACUGGAGGGCUACUGGGGCGAGGCCCAGAGCUUGUGCCAGGCUGUGGACGAGCACCUGCGGGAGACCCAGGCCCAGUACCAGGCGCUGGAGCGCAAGUACAGCAAGGCCAAGCGCCUCAUCAAGGACUACCAGCAGAAGGAGAUUGAGUUCCUGAAAAAGGAGACGGCACAGCGCCGGGUUCUAGAGGAGUCAGAGCUGGCGAGGAAGGAAGAGAUGGACAAGCUCCUGGACAAGAUCUCGGAACUGGAAGGAAACCUGCAAACACUGAGGAAUUCCAAUUCUACUUAACAGGAAUCAUUCCUUGACCGGACAAUAACUAAUCCCCUCCCAUUGUCCUCCUCCCUCCCCUGUCCUCAAUACUUCACCCCGCCCCCUACCAGCCUGGGGACAGGUGCCCCGACUCCCCCACCCCUCCACCCCACCUCCCCCAGCUUCAGGGACCAGAGGGCCCAUAUUACAGGCCCCCUUAAGGUGGCCCCGGGCAGACAGGUGGCUGGAAGGAUGGCCUCCUUCUAGCCUGUGGGGCUGAGGCACAGAGGCCAUGGGAUGCCAAGGGCUGGCCUGGGUGGUGGAUGGACACGAGGACCUGCAGACCAAACUGCCAGACGUUACAGCCUCCAGCCUUUGUCUCUGGACUGGAAAGGGGCCGGGGGCUCUCCCAGCACCUCACCACCUGGAGGCUGCUCCCUGCUCACGGGGCUCCUAGGCGGCCCCUGGGCCUCUUGACUUGAGUCUACCUUCCUGUCCCUUCCCCGCUCCCCCGUCAUCGUGCUGUUCUGUUGCAUCCUGACCCUCCUGCUGGGAGGGGUUGCCUCUACACCUCUCCUGCCAUCCUUGUCUGCCCUCCCAGGAUGGGUAGAGUCUACCCAGAGCCUGGAGGCUGGGCCUGGCCCUGCACUGAUUUCUCACGUAUCCUUCGUGAAAAGGGGAGAGUCCGGGACACCUGAUGUCCAGCUCCCCCUUUUCUUGGGGCAGCAGCCCUCAGUUUCUCCUUGUGCCUCCCCUGCCCCCCAGGUGCCAAAUAGCCAUAACCUCUUCCUGGAACUGUUCUGCGGCCUCUUUGGGGACCAGGUUUCCUGGCCAACCCUGGGAAUGAGCUGGAGGAGAGGAGGUCAGCUUAGGGGGCCUGGUUUUAGGUGAGGGGAACAUUUGUCACUGGAGAGCCAGGCCCUGUCCUGCCCUACGCAGGGCCACACCUGGAAGCCUUGUACUAACAUGGCAGAGAUUCAGCCUCACCCCACCCACACCCACAGUUUUCCAAUGUUUUGACUGGAGGGCAAAAUUUUACUACUUUUCAUCUUUUUGGAGACCAGGGCUGCCCUGCUGGCAGCCUGCUUUCUAAGUGAAAUCAACUCCGUUUCCCCACUUUAACCCCAAAUUGGGGCUUGGACCAAGGGAGGUGAGACCCUCACCCCAGGUCCCCUCCCCUUUCAGAUUACAUCUCUCAUUUUGCCUCUUCCUCAUGCCCCUGCCUCGGCCUGGGUUUUUGUUCUUUUUUUAAAAAACGACGCUUGUUCCAUCCAUUUUGGCUUUUCCUCGUCCCCUGUAAAUAGACCAUGCCAUCGAUCAGUAUUUCUCAGCACCCACUUCCUGCCCCCAGACGUGCGCCUACCCCCGAAGGAGCUGGCUGUCUCAGUGCCUGGGCCCAUGCACUUCACCUCCUCGGCCUCAGCAGAUGGAGGGGGCGGGGCUGUGGGGGGGUGCUUCUGGUUUCUCCGGCCGGGGCCACCUCUGUCCCGCCUUCCACAGGACUGCGUCUCUGUAUAUAAUAUAUAUAUGUAUGUAUUGUUCCCGGUUUUGUACGGACCAUGCCCUCUGUCAGGUCGUCCCCAUAAACGCAGCCCCCAGA